CUGAUACCAGAGAAAGAGAACCCGGUAUGGCUUUCUUUUUUUUCUUGUUUGUUUUUUUCUUUUUCUUCUUUUUUAAAAUGCUUUUCUAGGAGUUCCUAUUGUGGCUCAACAGUAAGGAACCCUACUAGUAUCCAUGAGGAUGAGGGUUCAAUCCCUGGCCUCGUUCAGCGGGUUAAGGAUCCAGCCUGGCCAUAAGCUGUGGUACAGGUCACAGAUGCGGCUCAGAUCUGGCGUUGCUGUGGCUGUGGUGUAAACCAGCAGCUGCAGAUACGAUUUGACCCUUAGCUGCGGGUGUGGCCCUAAAAAGCCAAAACAAACAAACAAACAAAUAAAAAAACCCACACAAAAUUACUUUUCUAUUUGUUUGUUUUGUAAGCAUGGCUUUCUUGACACAAGAGAAGCCAUUUUGGCCUACAGCAUUUUGUGAUCAAAGCUUGGCCACAAUGCUUGCUCUUCAACAGGUCUCAGUCAUUAAUGAUCUUAAGGGAAGGAAUGAAGAAACUGAGGAAAAGCACUUAAGAAAGAUAGCUUGGAGAAAAUUACAGUGUCCUAGUUCCUCCUCAAAGCAUCCACAAAAACAAUUUGAUACAGUCUUUCAGAUAUGCAGGAACUAAGAUCCCCACCCAAGUGGAGGACAGAAAGAUGUUGACCCUUCAGACUUCAAUUUUAUGCCUUCACCCCAAUUCUAUGCUGGAAUAUCCUCGGCUCAUGCCCCCUCGUGAAUAUGCAUGUACCCUUAGCUGGUACUUCCCCAGUUUUGCUGUUGGAAGACACUACUUUGGGAAAGAUCCCCAGUGGUCUCCUUACUUGCUGCAAUAAUAAUAAAUCCUUCCUUAUCCUGAUCUUUGGCUUGGUUGUGUCUUUUGACUCGACACCCACCAAGAAGCAAACCCAGUUUUCUGAUAACAGUUGAAACAGCACAGGAGUCCUUCCGUAGGUGCAGGUUAAGCUGUGGUCCACCCCCACCAUGGAAGGCUGCUCAGCACUAAAGGACCAAAGUACUAACACAGGUAACAACUCAGAUGAAUCUGCAGGGAUGCAUGUGCUGAGUGAGACAAGCCAAUCCCAAAGGGUGACAUACUACAUGAUUCCAUUUAUAUAACAUUUUUAGAAGGACAGCAUUUUGGAAAGGGAGAGCAGGGAUCAGGGAGGAGGGGGUGGGUAGGAGGGAGGUGGGCAUGGCUAUAAAACGGCAACCGGACAUGAAUUUUGUGCUAUGGCAGCGGUUCACAAUCUUGUGCUCAGAGCAAUGUACAGACCCAAACAUGAGACACACUUGUGUAGAACUAAACAACACACACAGAGUACAAGUAAAACUGAGGACAGCUGAACAAAAUCAGGGGGCUGGGUGGCUUCAAUAUCCUGCAGGUGACAACGUAUUAUAGUUUUGCAAGAUGUUACCAUUGAGGGAAAUUGGGUAGAGAGUACAUCUGAUCUUUCAACCACAUGUGAAUCUACAGCUAGCUCAAUAAAACAAACAAGAGACACCCUAUUUCACCCAUCAGUUUGGCAAAAAUGAAAUCAUCUCGCAACAUAAAGUGUUGACAAGGAUUUGAGAAGCAUGGCACCCUUAUCCACUGUGGCUGGGAGUAUAAUUUGUUACAGCCACUUGGAGAGUAAGACGGGCUGCAACUAGUGAAAAGUAAAAUUCAGCCUCUACACUGCCCAAUACCUCUCUACUCUUCGUUUAGAAACCCUAGAGAAACCCUCCCACAUAUGCCUGAAGAGACCUGUACAUAGGGGUGCUUAUUACAACAUUGUAUAAUAGCAGAAGAGUGGAAAUAACACAAAUAUCCUGCAUGAAGGCAAUGCAUACACAAAAUAUAGUAUAGCUAUAACACAUUGCAGUAAAAAAAUAAUGAGCUAGAUAAGAAUAUAUAUGUAUAUAAUGUUUAUAUAGGCAUAUCUCAGAAACACGUUAAAUUUAAAAAGCAAGAUAGGAGGUCCCAUCAUGGCGCAGUGGAAACAAAUCCAACUAGGAGCCAUGAGGUUAUGGGUUCAAUCCCUGGCCUUGCUCAGUGGGUUAAGGAUCCUGCAUUGCUGUGGCUGUGGUGUAGGACGGCAGCUGUAGUUCUGAUUUGACCCAUACCCUGGCAACCUCCAUACACCGCAGGUU
rnacentral:lncRNA from 1 species